CGACUAAGCCAUGCAAGUCAAGGGGGUCUUCGGACCACCGGCAGACUGCUCAGUAACACGUCGUUAACCUGCCCUAUGGUCUGGGAUAAGCUUGGGAAACUGAGUCUAACACCAGAUACUUAAUGAAUUCUGGAAUGAAUCAUUAUUCAAAGGUUACGCCAUAGGAUGGGACGGCGGCGGAUUAGGCAGUUGGUGAGGUAACGGCUCACCAAACCUAAGAUCCGUACGGGCCAUGAGAGUGGGAGCCCGGAGAAGGGUACUGAGAUACUGACCCUAGCCCUACGGGGUGCAGCAGGCGCGAAACCUUUACAAUGCACGAAAGUGUGAUAGGGGAAAUCCAAGUGCUCAUGUAAUGCAUGGGCUUUUGUUAAGUGUAAGAAGCUUGACGAAUAAGUGGUGGGUAAGACUGGUGCCAGCCGCCGCGGUAACACCAGCGCCACGAGUGGGAGCCGCGAUUAUUGGGCCUAAAGCGUCCGUAGCCGGUUUGUUAAAUCUUUUGUGAAAUUGUCGUGCUUAACAUGGCAGAUUGCAGAAGACACUGUCAAACUAGGGACCGGGAGGAGUCAGGAGUAUUCUGGGGGGAGCGGUAAAAUGCUAUAAUCCCCGGAGGACUACCAGUGGCGAAAGCGCCUGACCAGAACGGAUCCGACGGUGAGGGACGAAAGCUAGUGGAUCAAAACGGAUUAGAUACCCGAGUAGUCCUAGCUGUAAACGCUGCGAGCUAGGUGUCGCGUAUUCUUGAGAAUAUGCGGUGUCGAAGCGAAGGUAUUAAGCUCGCCGCCUGGGAAGUACGGUCGCAAGACUGAAACUUAAAGGAAUUGGCGGGGGAGCACCACAACAGGUGCGGCGUGCGGUUUAAUCUAAUUCAACACAGAGAAUCUCACCAGGGGCGACAGCUGGAUGAAAGACAGUCUGAAGGGCUUUCUUGACUAGCUGAGAGGUAGUGCAUGGCCGCCGUCAGCUCGUGCCGUAAGGUGUCCUGUUAAGUCAGGCAACGAGCAAGACCUGUAUCUACAAUUGCUAACAAGUCUUUUUGGACGAUUGAGCACAUUGUAGAGACUGCCCUGGAAACGGGGAGGAAGGUGCAGGCAACGGUAGGUCUGUAUGCUCCGAAUCUUCUGGGCUACACGCGCGCAACAAUGGUAGGGACAAUGGGAUGCCACUCCGAAAGGAGAAGCUGAUCCUCUAAACCCUAUCUUAGUUUAGAUCGAGGAUUGUAACUCAUCCUCGUGACACCGGAAUCUGUAGUAAUCGGGUGUUAUCAGCGCCCGGUGAAUAUGUCCCUGCUCCUUGCACACACCGCCCGUCAAAUCAACCGAGCAGGGUUUGGGUGAGAGCUAUUUUUUUGAGUAGUUCGAACCUAAGCUCAGUGAGGUGGGUUAAGUCGUCACAAGGUA
rnacentral:rRNA from 1 species